AGCUCUAUCAGCAGGGAAGGACGAUGACGGUACCUGUCUGAAGAAGCCCCGGCUAACUACGUGCCAGCAGCCGCGGUAAUAAGUAGGGGGCAAGCGUUGUCCUGGAUUUACUGGGUGUAAAGGGAGCGUAGCCGGCUGUGCAAGUCUGAAGUGAAAUGCCGGGGCUCAACCCCUGACCUGCUUUAGAUUCUAUCCAGCUAGAGUGCGGGAGGGGCGAGCGGCAUUCCCUGUGUAUGCAGUGAGAUGCGUAGAUAUUAGGAGGGCACACCGGUGGCGAAGGCGGCUCGCUUGACAGCAACGCUCGGGUGGCUAGCAAUGGGGGGGAGCCAACAAGAGUUGCUAUCGUAGUCCUCCCCGCAAUCGAUGGAUAAUAGGUGUGGGGGGUACUGACCCCUUCCGUGCCGGAGUUAACACAAUAAGUAAUCCACCUGGGGAGUACGGCCGCGAGGUUGGAACUCAAAAGGAAUUGACGGGGGCCCGCACAAGCAGUGGAAGUAUGUGGUUUAAUUCGAAGCAACGCGAAGAACCUUACCAGGGCUUGACAUGGGGAUGACCGCUCUAGAGAUAGAGUUUACUCUUCGGAGACAUCCCACACAGGUGGUGCAUGGUUGUCGUCAGCUCGUGUCGUGAGAUGUUGGGUUAAGUCCCGCAACGAGCGCAACCCUUAUUGUUAGUUGCUACGCAAGAGCACUCUAGCGAGACUGCCGUUGACAAAACGGAGGAAGGUGGGGACGACGUCAAAUCAUCAUGCCCUUUAUGUCCUGGGCUACACACGUACUACAAUGGCGGACAUACAGAGGGAAGCAAGACAGCGAUGUGGAGCAAAUCCCUAAAAGCCGUCUCAGUUCAGAUUGCAGGCUGCACCCCGCGGGCAUGAAGUCGGAAUUGCUAGUAAUCGCGGAUCAGCAUGCCGCGGUGAAUACGUUCCCGG
rnacentral:rRNA from 1 species